rnacentral:rRNA from 1 species
UGGGGAAUAUUGGACAAUGGGGGGAACCCUGAUCCAGCCAUGCCGCGUGUGUGAAGAAGGCCUUAUGGUUGUAAAGCACUUUAAGCGAGGAGGAGGGUACUGGUAUUAAUACUACCAGGUACUGGACGUUACUCGCAGAAUAAGCACCGGCUAACUCUGUGCCAGCAGCCGCGGUAAUACAGAGGGUGCGAGCGUUAAUCGGAUUUACUGGGCGUAAAGCGCGCGUAGGUGGUUCGUUAAGUUGAAUGUGAAAGCCCCGGGCUCGACCUGGGAACUGCAUCCAAAACUGGCGAGCUAGAGUAGGGCAGAGGGUGGUGGAAUUUCCUGUGUAGCGGUGAAAUGCGUAGAUAUAGGAAGGAACACCAGUGGCGAAGGCGACCACCUGGGCUCAUACUGACACUGAGGUGCGAAAGCGUGGGGAGCAAACAGG